rnacentral:pre_miRNA from 1 species
GGGGGGAGCUCAGGAUCCUGGGCUAUGUCCCCGGGCACCCUGGGCUCCAGGGCCUGUGCUGCUGGGAUCGCGCUCCGGGCUGCACAGCCCCUU